AGCCCACACGAGCGCUCCAGGGGCACGAUGAAGCUGGGAACCCGCUGGCUCUUGCCUGUGUGCCGAGUGGAGGCCUGGUGCCUGCCUAGUGCCCAGCGCGUCCCUCCCUGCUUCCAACCACAGAGGUGCCGGGGCAGGGUGAGCCUUGGAAUGAAGGAGAGGAAGGGGCCUGAAAGGAACGCAGAUUGGUCCCCUGCCAGCAAACCCCACGUGCAUUGCCUAACUGACAAGCUGUGUGGCUCCUGCAGCAUGUUUAAACAGGCUCGAGCCUGUCCAUUUGGACAAAGCGACAUCUCUGUUCCAGAGAGCUUCCUGGGAAACAGACGGACAGUGUCUAAAGAACCUCACUGGGAAAGGGAGAAGUGGAGAUGGAGGAGCCGGCAAAGGAAAGUGGGGAUUCAGCUGGAGCUCUCGGGGGUGUCUCCAAGACCACUAAGGAUGAGGAUGUGAAUUCCGCUCGCGCCCUCUGGUGGCUGUAUGAGGAAUAGGCGCGGGGGUGAGGCAGAAGUCGGAGAAAGGCCCCGCCUACCACGGGGCGGGGAUAGGGAUGAGCAGCAACCGAGGAGAUGUGUCGAAUGUGUGAUGCCCACAGACUAAAAUACGUGUUCUACAGCCUGCGGGACUUGAGAGUAGUAGAAUCUCCUAUCCGGUGCCCAAAAUGCCAGGGUGACUGGAGAGCUGGCACUUGCUGCCAAGCAUGACUACUUGGGUUCCACGCCCAGGACCCACAAAAUGGAGAAAAGGAGCUGACCCCCUGCACGCAUGCACGCACACACACAAUAAUAAUAAUAAUAAAAUUAAAGUGUAAUAUA